rnacentral:rRNA from 1 species
ACAUGCUUACAACAUAGUGUUAAUGCACUAGAUCCCAUUAUAACUCUACAGUUAAGCGCGGUCAUGCUAGAGUAGUAUUGGGAUGGAUGACGGCCCAACGCGCUCAUGCUAGAGUAAUAUUGGGAUGGGUGAUUGCCCAAUGCGCUCAUGCUAGAGUAGUAUUGGGAUGGGUGACCGCCCAGGAAGUCCUAGUAUUUUACAUGCC